CUUGCUCCCUUAGGUCAGCGGCGGACGGGUGAGUAACACGUGGGUAACCUGCCUGUAAGACUGGGAUAACUCCGGGAAACCGGGGCUAAUACCGGAUGCUUGAUUGAACCGCAUGGUUCAAUCAUAAAAGGUGGCUUUCAGCUACCACUUGCAGAUGGACCCGCGGCGCAUUAGCUAGUUGGUGAGGUAACGGCUCACCAAGGCGACGAUGCGUAGCCGACCUGAGAGGGUGAUCGGCCACACUGGGACUGAGACACGGCCCAGACUCCUACGGGAGGCAGCAGUAGGGAAUCUUCCGCAAUGGACGAAAGUCUGACGGAGCAACGCCGCGUGAGUGAUGAAGGUUUUCGGAUCGUAAAACUCUGUUGUUAGGGAAGAACAAGUACCGUUCGAAUAGGGCGGUACCUUGACGGUACCUAACCAGAAAGCCACGGCUAACUACGUGCCAGCAGCCGCGGUAAUACGUAGGUGGCAAGCGUUGUCCGGAAUUAUUGGGCGUAAAGCGCGCGCAGGCGGUUUCUUAAGUCUGAUGUGAAAGCCCCCGGCUCAACCGGGGAGGGUCAUUGGAAACUGGGGAACUUGAGUGCAGAAGAGGAGAGUGGAAUUCCACGUGUAGCGGUGAAAUGCGUAGAGAUGUGGAGGAACACCAGUGGCGAAGGCGACUCUCUGGUCUGUAACUGACGCUGAGGCGCGAAAGCGUGGGGAGCGAACAGGAUUAGAUACCCUGGUAGUCCACGCCGUAAACGAUGAGUGCUAAGUGUUAGAGGGUUUCCGCCCUUUAGUGCUGCAGCAAACGCAUUAAGCACUCCGCCUGGGGGAGUACGGUCGCAAGACUGAAACUCAAAGGAAUUGACGGGGGGGGACCGACCAAAGUUAAAUGGAAGGGUUUUCCCCUCAAGACGA
rnacentral:rRNA from 1 species